CACCCAGCUGAUAAAUGCCAGAGACAUGAGUCAAACCCAGUUCUCUGAACUCCAUGUCGCAUCCAGAGUCAUCUCUGUUUGUGCGAUGACUUUUUGAGAAGAGCUCAGUGUUACUUUUGUGUGAACUCUGUGAUUCAUUGUGGGCAGACAGGAAGUGGAUGUCCUGUACCAAAGCAAUAGGAAGAGAAAUAGACCCCGCAGUGUAACUGGAGGCUGCUUUCGGUUCAGGAGAACCGGUGCUUACUGCAGGCUCUGACGUGUGCUGGAUGCCAGGGCUACAGUAAUGAGAAACACUGUCUUUCCACCUGGGAGUUCAUAAUCAGGCUGGUUAACAGCAUGAAGUCAAGGUGCCACAGAGGGGAACCCCAAGCCAGGGAGUGGACAGAGUUGUGGCAAAUCUAAGAAGGGCACUGAAGGCAGAACUUGCAGGCUCCACUUUCACACAGGACUCAGGACUCACUAUGUAGAGUAAAAGGAGACUAUGAAUUUAGUACGGAGGAAGUGACAGAAAUGCCCUUUCAGAUAGCUGGUGUGAUUCCCAUUUUGAGAGAUGAGGAACAAUCUGAAGAAGGUGAACAUCCUGAUCAAGCUCCCACAGCCAACAGAAAGACGGUGACUGCUGCCCCCUCGCAGUGAGAGCGGGAGAAGAGCCGCCUCCGUAGGGGCGACUGUGGAGGAAGGCUCUUCGCAGGCUGGUCUCUAUGAGAGAUGCUGGGGCAGCCCAGAGACGACCAGAAGGGGGAAUGACUGUGGAGGUCUGGUCGGCCUUGGAAGGAGAGCGUCACUGGGCGGGACAGGAGCGUGACCUUCUCUUGUGUCCCCCUCACCUGCCACAGGCCCUUCCUCUGCCCCCUCACCUGCUAAUACACCUUCUCACCACUAACGUUCGAGAAUCUGAAGGUGGCUUCCUGAGGACAGGCCUAGAUGAACAAAACUUGGAAACAGGUGGAAGCGGAGCCCAGCCUGGGGGGCAGAUGGCCUGGAAAUCUGAGUCAGAGCUCCUCACCACUCACCCAAGGAUUUGAUGUCCUUUUGGCUGGCAUGCUGUUUUCUCUCUGCAAAACUAUUGAUCCUGCUGCCAGAUGUGCCCUAAGCCUGCCUCCUACAUCAAUGAGACAUGUGAUAAACUGUAACUGGAGGACGGAAGGGGCCAGCCCAUGGGUGGGAAACUUCUGAGCUCAGGCUAGGGCCUUGGACAUUCUUAUCAGUAGACCCAGCACCGGCUAGUCUGCCAACCCAGGCUGGGCAGAAAUUUUAGCAUUAAGUGAGGACUGCAACAUUUGGGCUUGUUCACCAAGUCCAGAGCGAGGCACCAGAAAUUUCUGGCUUCCUCCAAACAGCUGCACAGAAGCAGUGGCCAAACCCAUCCUGUGUUUGAUGAGUCAUCCCGCGUCAGCCCUGUGCCGCUCAGGCCUCUACGGGUGCUUCCUCAGCAGCUGCAUCUGGCUCAGGCUUUUUCCAGAAGACAAGGUAGCCAAGUACUCAAGCUCCAGCAUUAAUGGGCACUCUGUGACUCCAGAUGGAAAAACAACUUCAUUAAAAUGAAAUGAUUUGCUCAAGCUUGAUGCCUUGAGAGGUGGACGGGCGCUGAGAUACAGAACAACGUUAUGACUCCAAACGCAAUCUAUAUCCUCCCCAAACAAUCAGAUCUAUCUUCUCAAGACGUCUGCAAUGAAAGCCUGUCUAAAUAUUUGAAAGAUUCCUUCAAACAACCUGUGUUGUAUGAUGUUUGGCAGUUGAUUUUCUCUAAACUUGCACAUUGGUUCAGUUCUCUGGGAAGCAUGUGAAGAUUGUCCGGGCUUUUGUGCCAUCGGGUCCUGGGUUUGAAUUCCUAUUUUGCCACUGAUAUCCAGGAGAUGAGAGAAAUUUAUGUUUCCAGUCUGAGCUUCAACAUCUGCAUCUCUUAAGGAAGAUAAUUCAUACCUACCUCAUGACCAUGAUGGUGAAGAUUUGGAUAUGAUAAGGACUGUGAUGUCUAGGUGCUGAAAAAAAUGCAUAGGGAUUCCCAGAUUCCUCCUCUUUUCUUCUCUGACAGUUCCUGAAAUCUCACCUCUCUUGUAAGUAGAUUCUUGAAAGCUGGAGCCAGAUGACUGAUACAGGUUUUGUGUGAAGAUGAAGGAAUUUUAAAAUAAAAUAUUGGUUAUCUAUUGGCUGUAUAACAAAUUACC